rnacentral:rRNA from 1 species
UACAGAGGGUGCGAGCGUUGUCCGGAAUCACUGGGCGUAAAGGGCGCGUAGGCGGUCCCCUAAGUGUGUGGUGAAAGCUCGGGGCUCAACCCCGAGUCGGCCGUGCAAACUGGGGGACUCGAGCAUGUCAGAGGCAGGCGGAAUUCCACGUGUAGCGGUGAAAUGCGUAGAGAUGUGGAGGAACACCGGUGGCGAAGGCAGCCUCCUGGGCCAACACUGACGCUCAUGCACGAAAGCGUGGGGAGCAAACAGG